rnacentral:misc_RNA from 1 species
GCAAACUUGGUCAUUUAGAGGAAGUAAAAGUCGUAACAAGGUCUCCGUAGGUGAACCUGCGGAGGGAUCAUUACCGAGUGAGGGCCCCGUGCCCGACCUCCAACCCUUUGAAGUUAACCAACUCUGUUGCCUCGGGGGCGACCCGGUCGUCGCGCCGGAGCCCCCGGAGGACCACACACCCUGCGUUUUGUGCGUCGGAGUUUUAAGCGAAAUCUUAAUCAAAACUUUCAACAACGGAUCUCUUGGUUCUGGCAUCGAUGAAGAACGCAGC